ensembl:lncRNA
CCAUUUCCUUCUCCAAUGCAUGAAAGUGAAAAGUGAAAGUGAAGUCGAUCAGUCGUGUCCGACUCUUAGCGACCCCAUGGACUGCAGCCUACCAGGCUCCUCCGUCCAUGGGGAUUUUCCAGGCAAGAGUACUGGAGUGGGGUGCCAUUGCCUUCUCCAUUAACCACUGGACCACCAGGAUAGGCACGACCCCAGUUCAGAUCCUUACCAUCUCUUCUCUGCACCCGUUUCCUGCCUCAUCUCCUGACUCAGUAAGUCUUUCUCCACCUUGCUGCCAGCGUGACAUUACCAGGACACACAUUUGAUUGAAGCAUUUCCCUGCUGACAUCAUUCCUGCUGGUUUCUCCUCCUCAACUGUGCCAUUCAAAUGUGCUCCAGAGGCAGGGGCAGCCAGUCUGUUCAUGAUAAGUGGCCAUGUCUGGAGCAUCUCUGAGUCUCCAAAGCCUCUGGGCUGUGAACAUAUGAGGGACUGAAGUUGGAAUUAAGACUGAUAAUGAUGGAUGAAAUGGCUUCCCUGGUGGUGCAGUGGUAAAGAAUCUGUCUGCCAAUGCAGGAGACAAGGGUUUGAUCCCUGGUCCAGGAAGAUCCCACAUGCCAAGGGGCAGGUAAACCCAUGUGCGCCAACUACUGAGCCUGUGCUCAGGGCCUGGGAGCCAUAGCUACUGAG